UACGGGGGGAGCAAGCGUUGUUCGGAUUUACUGGGCGUAAAGGGCGCGUAGGCGGCCAGCACAAGUCAGUUGUGAAAUCUCCGAGCUUAACUCGGAACGGUCAACUGAUACUGUGCGGCUAGAGUGCAGAAGGGGCAACUGGAAUUCUUGGUGUAGCGGUGAAAUGCGUAGAGAUCAUGAGGAAGACCAGUGGCGAAGGCGGGUCUCUGGACAGUUCCUGACACUGAGGCACGAAGGCCAGGGGAGCAAACGGG
rnacentral:rRNA from 1 species